AUUCGCGCGUAUGGGCAUGUCGGUUCCCUGCUCUGGCAGCGACGGCAUCUCGUGCGUGCUUCGUCGGUUGUUGGUUCAAGUUGUCGAUCGGCUUGAGCGACGAUGGUGUCCUGUGUUGCAUACCUAUCGAGAAGGAAUGAUGUAGUCCUAUUGUCCCUUUCCCUCCUUGUGCUGCGCCUUUCGGGGUUGCAGUGCGUGGUGGGCACCGAAGCAUUCGUCGUGUUCCAUGACUUGCGCGCUUCAUAGUGUGAUUUUGUCGUUGGCCCAUGUCGUUUUUCUCGAUCUCUUGGAUGCGGAAUACCGACGCGGUACGAGGUCAAUGGCCUCUAUUUGCCCCGAAAACAAAGCGUUCUACGCUUAAUGCGGACGACGUCCGACCACGUUUUGUCCGAUUCUCUCGGCUCAUGCGUGAUCGGCGUCGGUGAGGAAUGCUACCCC
rnacentral:misc_RNA from 1 species